rnacentral:lncRNA from 1 species
CUAUUUUUCACUUUUUACCAUUAUUAACGUGACUGUAUAACGCAAACAACUAUUCAUGCAGCUGCCACUUCUACAAUAGACGUGGAAGAGAAAUGAAGCGAAUUAGAAAGAAACGAACAGUCUUUAAGAAAAUAUGAAACGAAGUUUUUUUAUUUUAUAUUAUUUUAUUUUCCCCUUGAAUUAUAAAGAAAGUUGUAGUUGCUUUUGAGGAGAGGAAAUCAAAGUGCGAUCAUCAGCAUCGUUACCACUACCAGCACCAUUCUGGGAAUUAUUUUAAAUUUUAUACUUGGCUUUUUUACAUUUACACGCGCGAUUUCCACACGCAUUUAUAGACACACACACACAUACAGAUAUACAGUGUUAACUGUUGCUUACAAGUAAACAACAAUAUUUUUUAUGUUAACAUUUGGUCCUUGUCUUCGAUCGAACCAAAACUAAAAACAAACCAUACUCUUUAAAAAUAGCCAUCAUCGUCAUCACCAACGUUUAAAGCACAAUAUAAUUAUAAUUCUUAUUGCAAUAUUAUCAUUGUGCAAUCAUCUUACAUUUGAUCAACAGAAAUUUAUUCAUCUCGAUAUUCCUAUGUGGCUUACAUACCUAUAAGAUGGUGCUUCAUACUUACAACAGACACAAACUAAUGUUUCUACAUAAGAGGACUCAGUUGUUACCAGCUAUGGCUGUGUGAACCUUGGCAAAUCAGUUCUUCCUGGGAUCAACAUUACUCCAGUGGUUUUUCAGCCCCUACCAGAUCACUCCAUGUUCCUCCAGAUUUUAUGAUGAAUUCUCAUCCGAUUUCCAAAAAAGGCUGGCUCAGGAAGCUCGGUGGGAUUGUGAAGACUUGGCAGAGACGUUGGAUUGUACUCAAUGGAAACAUCUUGUUUUACUUCACUAGAGAAGAUGACCAGAAGUCCCUUGGUUCAAUCCUUCUCCCCGGCAACAGGGCCUUUGCCCAUUCUUAUAGUCCAGGCAAUCCAGAUAAAUAUAUUUUUGAAAUUGAACCAGACAAGAAUAUGAAAGCUUCAAAUCCGACAAAUCACGAAAUCUCCUUGUUCUGUUGCGAGUCGGAAGCCGAGAGACAAGAAUGGAUUCGUGCCAUACGGAAAGUGAUCUACGGACCAAAUGGAG